GCUGCCAUCUAUCUUAAGUUUGAUAUCUGAGUCAUUCACAUUCUCAACAUAAGAGUCAAUAUCUGAGUAUUCUUUGGUCGUCUCCUUUAAGAUUGAUCUGACUAAAUCAGCAUUAUCGGGAUUUAAGAGUAAAGAAGUAAUGAAUUUCCAUAACUCAUUACCUAACGC